rnacentral:rRNA from 1 species
AGAGUAAUCCGACUUCCGACUUCCGACAUCCGACUUCCGUUAUGGUAGGGGAGCAUUCCUAACGGGCAGAAGCUGUACCGAAAGGAGCAGUGGACUAUUAGGAAGAGAGAAUGCUGGCAUAAGUAAGCGAGAAGGCAGGUGAGAAUCCUGCCCGCCGUAAACCUGAGGUUUCCUGGGGAAGGCUCGUCCGCCCAGGGUAAGCCGGGACCUAAGCCGAGGCCGGAAGGCGUAGGCGAUGGACAACUGGUUGAGAAUCCAGUGCCACCUGAAGCCGCUUGAGCGAAGGGGUGACGCAGGAGGAUAGGUGAAGCGCACGGAUGGAAGAGUGCGUCCAAGCACGUAGGGUAAUGGGCAGGCAAAUCCGCCCAUUGAAAAGCCUGAGGUGUGACGGGGAGUGAAACAUAGUAGCGAAGUCACUGAGUCCAAACUGCCAAGAAAAGCCUCUAGCAAGGCAACAGGUGCCCGUACCGAAAACCGACACAGGUAGGUGAGGAGAGAAUCCUAAGGCGCGCGAGAGAACCCUCGUUAAGGAACUCGGCAAAAUAACCCCGUAACUUAGGGAGAAGGGGUGCUCUAUUAGCGUGAGUAUGUUUAACAUAUAUGAGCGUGAGAGAGCCGCAGUGAUCAGGCCCAGGCGACUGUUUAACAAAAACACAGGUCUCUGCCAAAUCGAAAGAUGAAGUAUAGAGGCUGACGCCUGCCCGGUGCCGGAAGGUUAAGAGGAAGUGUUAGCGCAAGCAAAGCACUGAGCCGAAGCCCCGGUGAACGGCGGCCGUAACUAUAACGGUCCUAAGGUAGCGAAAUUCCUUGUCUGGUAAGUUCAGACCCGCACGAAAGGCGUAACGAUCUGGGCACUGUCUCGACGAGGGGCUCGGUGAAAUUGUAAUACCGGUGAAGAUGCCGGUUACCUGCGAUAGGACAGAAAGACCCCGUGGAGCUUUACUGCAGCUUGAUAUUGAAUUUUGGUAGUUGAUGUACAGGAUAGGUGGGAGACUAAGAAGUGAGGUCGCCAGGUCUCAUGGAGUCAACGGUGGGAUACCACUCUUUAAUUGCUGGGAUUCUAACCUGGGCCCGUGAUCCGGGUCAGGGACAGUGUCUGGCGGGCAGUUUGACUGGGGCGGUCGCCUCCCAAAGAGUAACGGAGGCGCCCGAAGGUUUCCUCAGCGCGGAUGGAAAUCGCGCGAAGAGUGUAAAGGCAUAAGGGAGCUUGACU